AUUGAACGCUGGCGGCAGGCCUGACACAUGCAAGUCGAGCGGAUGAGGAGAGCUUGCUCUCUGAUUCAGCGGCGGACGGGUGAGUAAUGCCUAGGAAUCUGCCUGGUAGUGGGGGACAACGUUUCGAAAGGAACGCUAAUACCGCAUACGUCCUACGGGAGAAAGUGGGGGAUCUUCGGACCUCACGCUAUCAGAUGAGCCUAGGUACGAUUAGCUAGUUGGUGAGGUAAAGGCUCACCAAGGCGACGAUCGUUAACUGGUCUGAGAGGAUGAUCAGUCACACUGGAACUGAGACACGGUCCAGACUCCUACGGGAGGCAGCAGUGGGGAAUAUUGGACAAUGGGCGAAAGCCUGAUCCAGCCAUGCCGCGUGUGUGAAGAAGGUCUUCGGAUUGUAAAGCACUUUAAGUUGGGAGGAAGGACAGUAAGUUAAUACCUUGCUGUUUUGACGUUACCGACAGAAUAAGCACCGGCUAACUUCGUGCCAGCCGCCGCGGUAAAAC
rnacentral:rRNA from 1 species